rnacentral:rRNA from 1 species
AUUGAACGCUGGCGGCAGGCCUAACACAUGCAAGUCGAGCGGAUGAAGGGAGCUUGCUCCUGGAUUCAGCGGCGGACGGGUGAGUAAUGCCUAGGAAUCUGCCUGGUAGUGGGGGAUAACGUCCGGAAACGGGCGCUAAUAUAGCAUACGUCCUGAGUGAGAGAGUGGGGGAUCUUCGGACCUCACGCUAUCAGAUGAGCCUAGGUGGCAUUAGCUAGUUGGUGGGGUAAAGGCCUACCAAGGCGACGAUCCGUAACUGGUCUGAGAGGAUGAUCAGUCACACUGGAACGGAGACACGGUCCAGACUCCUACGGGAGGCAGCAGUGGGGAAUAUUGGACAAUGGGCGAAAGCUUGAUCCAGCCAUGCCGCGUGUGUGAGAAAGGUCUUCGGAUUUAAAAGCACUUUGAGUUGGGAGGAAGGGCAGUAAGUUAAUACCUUGCUGUUUUGACGUUACCAUCAGAAUAGGCACCGGCUAACUUCGUG